rnacentral:rRNA from 1 species
GACGAACGCUGGCGGCGUGCUUAACACAUGCAAGUCGAACGGAAAGGCCCCUUUGGGGGUACUCGAGUGGCGAACGGGUGAGUAACACGUGAGUAACCUGCCCUUGACUUCGGGAUAACUUCAGGAAACUGGGGCUAAUACCGGAUAGGAAUCCUUGCUGCAUGGUGGGGGUUGGAAAGCUUCGGCGGUUUUGGAUGGACUCGCGGCUUAUCAGCUUGUUGGUGGGGUAGUGGCUUACCAAGGCUUUGACGGGUAGCCGGCCUGGGAGGGCGACCGGCCACAUUGGGACUGAGAUACGGCCCAGACUCCUACGGGGGGCAGCAGUGGGGAAUAUUGCACAAUGGGCGGAAGCCUGAUGCAGCAACGCCGCGGGCGGGAUGACGGCCUUCGGGUUGUAAACCGCUUUCAGCAGGGGCGAAGCUUGUGGUGACGGUACCUGCAGAAGAAGCACCGGCUAACUACGUG